CCAGCUAUCCCAUUAGCUGUAGCCUACCGGGAAAGGCGCUGCCCGGCACGGCGGGGUCUGAAGCUCCCGGGACAACGAGAGCCGGGCGUCAGCCCGGGUAAAGCCCCGUGAGGGGCUUUACCUUGCUGCAAGCAUCAUGUGGCAGGAGAG
rfam:Escherichia coli 1540 plasmid pIP1206 complete genome